AUUAUAAUUACAAGUCUAACAUCAUUAAAGUGUUAAAGUAAAUCAUUCAAAAACAAGAAGCCGACAUUGUAAUAUUAACAAGAAAAUUGCAUGGCAUCUGUUCCUAUAUUUCUAAGCGUGUAUAUGGCUUCAGAACAUUAAACAAAACACUUUCCACAUAUCAUAAUAAUAAUCUAAAUGUUUAGAAGGAUAUGGUUCUGUUACCAUAUUUUCGGUUCUUUCUUUCAUUUUAUUUCAUUUCUUUUU
rnacentral:lncRNA from 1 species